rnacentral:rRNA from 1 species
GAAUGCUGACAUAAGUAACGAUAAAGCGGGUGAAAAGCCCGCUCGCCGGAAGACCAAGGGUUCCUGUCCAACGUUAAUCGGGGCAGGGUGAGUCGACCCCUAAGGCGAGGCCGAAAGGCGUAGUCGAUGGGAAACAGGUUAAUAUUCCUGUACUUGGUGUUACUGCGAAGGGGGGACGGAGAAGGCUAUGUUGGCCGGGCGACGGUUGUCCCGGUUUAAGCGUGUAGGCUGGUUUUCCAGGCAAAUCCGGAAAAUCAAGGCUGAGGCGUGAUGACGAGGCACUACGGUGCUGAAGCAACAAAUGCCCUGCUUCCAGGAAAAGCCUCUAAGCAUCAGGUAACAUCAAAUCGUACCCCAAACCGACACAGGUGGUCAGGUAGAGAAUACCAAGGCGCUUGAGAGAACUCGGGUGAAGGAACUAGGCAAAAUGGUGCCGUAACUUCGGGAGAAGGCACGCUGAUAUGUAGGUGAAGUCCCUUGCGG